AUGGUUAAACCAUAAUACACAUCCAUCAAAGCAUCUCCUCUCUUCCUGUUUCUCUCUCUCAGCAAGCAAGGACUCUUCACACACUCUGUCUAUUAAUUACCAGUCGGAGUGAGCACGUGUGGUUUGCUCUGAGGGACAGCGGAAAGAGAGAGAGUGCGUGUGCAUGCUCCGAGACGCAAGCUUAGAGUCCGUCUGCUCCUUUUAAAAUGCUUGAUAGCUUGUGUCCAGUUGCUGUUGGCUACCAAGUCAGCGCACACCUUCGAGCAAAACAGACCCAGAGACCUCCACUGAGACUCUCAGUCAACCCAGAUCCAUAAUUAUCAGUAGUUUGCAAACUUUGGUUUUAUGAAAAGUGAAAAUACGAGGGUCUGCGAGAGGAGGAGACUGAACCAAAUGUCUCCAUUUGCUCUCAAUUUAAUCUCAUUGCAUUCAAGGAGACAUAGUUAAGAUAAUACAUGAAUUUAAUUGUGAUUUGCCUUUCCAAUGGUACCAAAAACUCUCUCUACAGUAUCUGUGUAUCUGUCAAAUCCACAUUAUACUCUCAAUGUACGUUAGUCUGCAAUAUGUUACACGCUUAUAAUUUGCAAUGGCUUAAUCUGUGUUUAUUGUAUAUCAAAUCAACACAAUGUUGUCUCUAAAAAUGAAAUGUGACAAGACUAAAGGUCAGUUUGCAUCUGUGCACACUGCUUUUCAAUUGUUUUUUCUAUGUAAACAUGCUUUAGACAGAGAUCUUUGACCAUUGAGGCGCGCCUUACCAUUUUUGUUUCUCGCUGUAGCGUUUUAUAGAAGCCACAUCAAUCAAAAAGAAUUUACUGGAAAUACUGUUAAAAACGUGUCUUGAGACACUUGCUUUGAAAUGGAGUGUUGCAUAAACCUGCAUUACAUGUUUAGCUAUGACUCAUAAUGUGCUGCUUCACAGUCCCUUUGCUUACAACAAUAUCCUCACCAUUAAAAU